UGAGUAACCUGCCCUUAACUCUGGGAUAAGCCUGGGGAAACUGGGUCUAAUACCGGAUAUGACUCCUCAUCGCAUGGUGGGGGUGGAAAGCUUUAUUGUGGUUUUGGAUGGACUCGCGGCCUAUCAGCUUGUUGGUGAGGUAAUGGCUCACCAAGGCGACGACGGGUAGCCGGCCUGAGAGGGCGACCGGCCACACUGGGACUGAGACACGGCCCAGACUCCUACGGGAGGCAG
rnacentral:rRNA from 1 species